AGUGAACGCUGGCGGUAGGCCUAACACAUGCAAGUCGAACGGCAGCACAGUAAGAGCUUGCUCUUACGGGUGGCGAGUGGCGGACGGGUGAGGAAUACAUCGGAAUCUACUUUUUCGUGGGGGAUAACGUAGGGAAACUUACGCUAAUACCGCAUACGACCUACGGGUGAAAGCAGGGGAUCUUCGGACCUUGCGCGAUUGAAUGAGCCGAUGUCGGAUUAGCUAGUUGGCGGGGUAAAGGCCCACCAAGGCGACGAUCCGUAGCUGGUCUGAGAGGAUGAUCAGCCACACUGGAGCUGAGACACGGUCCAGACUCCUACGGGAGGCAGCAGUGGGGAAUAUUGGACAAUGGGCGCAAGCCUGAUCCAGCCAUACCGCGUGGGUGAAGAAGGCCUUGGGGUUGUAAAGCCCUUUUGUUGGGAAAGAAAAGCAGCAGGUUAAUACCCCGCUGUUCUGACGGUACCCAAAGAAUAAGCACCGGCUAACUUCGUG
rnacentral:rRNA from 1 species